CCACGCAGAUCGCAACCGCGUCUGAUCGGCGACCCGCAAGAACACCGCCUCGUCGCGCCAAAGCGGACGUCGCCGAGAACUGCGAUAUUGUAGAUGCCAAGUGAUUUUGGAAAUAAACACGAGCGAUGAACCCACACAAAGAACUCCGAGACCAUGACAAUCAGAGGCGAUUCUAGGGACUCUGGGGGCCCUCGGCAAAAACAACUACAUGCCCCCCCCAACUCCCCCUCCUCUGGCAUGAUACAAACAAAGCAGAUUCGUCAUUGCGAUGUACUACGUAAAUCAGCUGCCCUCAGGGACCCCUCCCAGCUUGGGGCCCCAGGCCAUUGCCUUCCCUGCUUGUCCUGUCACUGCACCUCUGAUGACAACAGGCACAAAACUUGACCAGGUGUCUCCACGACUGGGUGUGGUUUCAGCCGGCCACUUCCUCACAUUCCGGCCUUUCUACAGAACUAUGGUGUUCGCUGCCAGCUUACUUAUAUUCUGAUUUUCCAUUGCGCAGAUUAUAAAGAUCUCAGUUUACUCCUGUUCCCGCUUCUGUCCAUUUGCAUCUGUAAUUAAAGGAUUAAUCAGUAUAGCUUUGUAAUUCUUUUAAAGUGACAAAUGUCACAGUAAGUUUGAAAGAUAGUAAGUUUCCAAUUAUAAACUUGAUGGAUAUGUUUGGUGAUCAAUUAAAGAAUAAAAUUUAACAAAAAAAUAAA